ensembl:snRNA U6 U6 spliceosomal RNA
AUGAUCACUUCAGCAGCACAUAUACUAAAAGUUGGAAUGAUACAGAGAAGAUUAACAGGGCCCCUCAGCAAGGAUGACAUGUCAAUUCAUGGAGCAUUCCAUUUUUUU